rnacentral:rRNA from 1 species
UACGUAGGCAGCAAGCGUUGUUCGGAAUUACUGGGCGUAAAGCGUGCGCAGGCGGUUCUAUAAGACAGAUGUGAAAUCCCCGGGCUCAACCUGGGAACUGCAUUUGUGACUGUAGAGCUGGAGUGCGGCAGAGGGGGAUGGAAUUCCGCGUGUAGCAGUGAAAUGCGUAGAUAUGCGGAGGAACACCGAUGGCGAAGGCAAUCCCCUGGGCCUGCACUGACGCUCAUGCACGAAAGCGUGGGGAGCAAACAGG